GUAUGAAAUGAUAACUUCUUUGACCUGAAAUAAUAAAUUGAUUUAACUAUCUGGCAGUACAUAAUUUAAUGUAACUUCCUUGAAUCCUAACUACCAUCAAUUUUUUAGCUCUGCAUAUUGCAUAUUUGUGAAUAGUUAUAUAUACUUCUUUAAUAAGCACAAUAAUUGUAGGCAACUGGGCAUAAUAUAUUUCAUCCGAUUGAAUAAAUUGUUGC
rnacentral:misc_RNA from 1 species